rnacentral:tRNA from 1 species
GCGCCGAAUGCCAAAUCCGGUUCGGCAACUGUCUGUAAAACAGUGGCUUUCACGAGCGUGAAGGUUCAAAUCCUUCUCGGCGCACCA